AAUGCAGUUUGUGCAUGCUUGAACAUGUGUGUGUGUAUGUGUGUGUUAUUACUUCCCUCCUGAAUCAUUUUCUCUCCGGGAUGUGCCGAGGACAGCGGUUCAGACAGUUUGAUUGGUGAAGCUUGAAAAAGAUUGAAUCUGGAAAAGGAAAUGCACCUGAGCCUGGUGGGAUGACGUCGACAAAAACCCUGAGAUUUCAAAGUGUCUUUGCUGAGAGAGAGCACAGAUGCUUUAUGCAGCUGGCAAGACGUGGGAUUUGUGCCGUUCUCACCACAACAUAGUCGCUCCCUAUCUUCCUUUUACUCCAUUGAUCUUCCUUAAUCGUCACCUCACUAAAUACCGAGGACUACAUUCAACUCCCUGUAGCAGUGGAGCCACUGGGGACUGAUGAAUCAUUUCGAGGAGCUCAUUACUCUUUCAUGGACAGCUCUCACUACUCGGCACGUAUACGCACAGGACUCUCACUCACUCGCUCAUAAGGUCACCAUUAAUUAAGCCUUUCACACAUGUGAGGAGGAUGAUGGAUGUUAAUCAUUACCUCAGCAAACAUGUUGUGUUGUGGACACCAGUAAAGGGCUUUACUGGAAUCUGAUACUCUUUGAUCCAAAGGAAUUCAUGUAUUUUUUGUGUUGCCGCUGUAAUAAACAAAAAGGGAGCGGA